AGAGAGAGAGAGAGAGAGAGAGAGAGAGAGCACAGGCCACAGGAUGGUGUGCUCGGACCACCAACACUAUGGAAAAGCACUCAGCUGUUAGUGGGCACGGUGGUCUCUGGUGGCUGCAAUGGUUUUGACCUGGACUUUUCUAUCUGUGUGAGAGGUGGUGGUCUAGUGGCAGAAACUUGGACUAUGGGCAGAGAAGGUCUCUGGUUCGUCUCUGGUUCGACUCCACGGAGAGACAACAAAAGAUGAACCUGGAUUGAUCUCUCCAAAAAUCCAAGAGUCUCCCUACCCUGUCUAGUGCCCCUGAGCAAGGCACCUUACUCCCCCAACAUCUGCUCCCCGAGCGCCGUACAUGGUCGCUCACUGCUCUGUGUGUCCUGCACCAGAUGGGUCAAAAGCAGAGAUUAAAUUUCCCUACCUGCAUGAGUGUGCCUUUGCAUGUCUGUGCAUGUGUUUGGGACUAAUAAAUGCAUCUUAAUUCUUAA